GCAGAUGAUGACAAAUGGGUCUUCUGAUUUGGUGAUGAUCCGUUGGAGCACUGAUG
rnacentral:ncRNA from 20 species